AUUCUUCUGGCAACCAUCGUUAUUGGUGUGGCUGUAGCUUUUCCUCAUGACAACGCCCAUUAUAAGUUCGAGUAUGGAGUGCACGAUCCUCACACCCACGACCACAAGUCCCAGCACGAACACCGAGACGGACACCAUGCUACCGGGGGAUACACCCUCAAGGAGGCAGAUGGUACCCACCGUAUUGUGAAAUACAAAUCUGGACCCCAUACCGGUUUCGAAGCAGUUGUUGAGAGAGUUGGGCACGCCCAACAUCCAGCCCAUUACGGACAUGGACACGGUCAUGGUCAUGGAGGAGUUGGAGGAACCAGCUACGUUGGAGUCACCCACUGGGCUAACCAGGGCAGCGAUGGUCAUGAACAUUGAGGGGUACGGUUGAUGUUUCUGCUUCCUGUUACUGGAUCGAAUAAAUCUUUACAUUAUUA